rnacentral:rRNA from 1 species
UACGGAGGGUGCGAGCGUUAUCCGGAAUUACUGGGUUUAAAGGGUGCGUAGGCGGCCAUGUAAGUCAGGAGUGAAGGUUUGCGGCUCAACCGUAAAAUUGCUUUUGAUACUGCAUGGCUGGAAUCAGGAUGAGGUCAGCGGAAUGUGGCAUGUAGCGGUGAAAUGCAUAGAUAUGCCAUAGAACACCAAUUGCGAAGGCAGCUGGCUAGACCUGUAUUGACGCUGAGGCACGAAAGCGUGGGGAGCGAACAGG